GUUGCUGGGUAUAGACCCGAAACCAGGCGAUCUAUCCAUGAGCAGGUUGAAGGUUGGGUAACACUAACUGGAGGACCGAACCCACUGUCGUUGAAAAGCCAGGGGAUGACUUGUGGAUAGGGGUGAAAGGCUAAUCAAGCCUGGUGAUAGCUGGUUCUCCCCGAAAGCUAUUUAGGUAGCGCCUCGGACGAAUACCAUAGGGGGUAGAGCACUGUUUCGGCUAGGGGGUCAUCCCGACUUACCAAACCGAUGCAAACUCCGAAUACCUAUGAGUACUAUCCGGGAGACAGACUGCGGGUGCUAACGUCCGUAGUCAAGAGGAAAACAAUCCAGACCGCCAGCUAAGGCCCCAAAAUCAUAGUUAAGUGGGAAACGAUGUGGGAAGGCAUAGACAGCUAGGAGGUUGGCUUAGAAGCAGCCACCCUUUAAAGAAAGCGUAAUAGCUCACUAGUCGAGUCGGCCUGCGCGGAAGAUGUAACGGGGCUAAAACUAUGUGCCGAAGCUGCGGAUUUGACAUUAGUCAAGUGGUAGGGGAGCGUUCUGUAAGCCGAUGAAGGUGUAUUGAGAAGUAUGCUGGAGGUAUCAGAAGUGCGAAUGCUGACGUGAGUAACGACAAAACGGGUGAAAAACCCGUUCGCCGAAAGACCAAGGGUUCCAGUCCAACGUUAAUCGGGGCUGGGUGAGUCGACCCCUAAGGCGAGGCCGAAAGGCGUAGUCGAUGGGAAAUUGGUUAAUAUUCCAAUACUUCUGUGUAAUGCGAUGAGAGGACGGAGAAGGUUAAGUCAGCCUGGCGUUGGUUGUCCAGGUGGAAGGAUGUAGGUAUGUAUCUUAGGCAAAUCCGGGGUACUCUAUACUGAGAUCCGAUAGCAAGCUGUACUUGUACAGUGAAGUGGCUGAUACCAUGCUUCCAGGAAAAGUCUCUAAGCUUCAGUUACACAGGAAUCGUACCCGAAACCGACACAGGUGGUCAGGUCGAGUAGACCAAGGCGCUUGAGAGAACUCUGCUGAAGGAACUAGGCAAAAUGGUACCGUAACUUCGGGAGAAGGUACGCUGUUGUUGGUGAUGGAACUUGCUUCCUGAGCUGACGACAGCCGCAGAAACCAGGCCGCUGCAACUGUUUAUUAAAAACAUAGCACUCUGCAAACACGAAAGUGGACGUAUAGGGUGUGAUGCCUGCCCGGUGCUGGAAGGUUAAUUGAUGGGGUUAGCGUAAGCGAAGCUCUUGAUCGAAGCCCCAGUAAACGGCGGCCGUAACUAUAACGGUCCUAAGGUAGCGAAAUUCCUUGUCGGGUAAGUUCCGACCUGCACGAAUGGCAUAAUGAUGGCGGCGCUGUCUCCAGCAGAGGCUCAGUGAAAUCGAAAUCGCUGUGAAGAUGCAGUGUACCCGCGGCUAGACGGAAAGACCCCGUGAACCUUUACUGCAGCUUGACACUGAACUUUGACCUUACUUGUGUAGGAUAGGUGGGAGGCUUUGAAGUUGGAACGCUAGUUCCAAUGGAGCCGUCCUUGAAAUACCACCCUGGUAAUGUUGAGGUUCUAACUCUGUCCCGUUAUCCGGGACGAGGACCGUGUCUGGUGGGUAGUUUGACUGGGGCGGUCUCCUCCUAAAGAGUAACGGAGGAGUACGAAGGUGCGCUCAGCGUGGUCGGAAAUCACGCGUAGAGUAUAAAGGCAAAAGCGCGCUUAACUGCGAGACCCACAAGUCGAGCAGGUACGAAAGUAGGUCUUAGUGAUCCGGUGGUUCUGUAUGGAAGGGCCAUCGCUCAACGGAUAAAAGGUACUCUGGGGAUAACAGGCUGAUACCGCCCAAGAGUUCAUAUCGACGGCGGUGUUUGGCACCUCGAUGUCGGCUCAUCUCAUCCUGGGGCUGAAGCAGGUCCCAAGGGUAUGGCUGUUCGCCAUUUAAAGAGGUACGCGAGCUGGGUUUAGAACGUCGUGAGACAGUUCGGUCCCUAUCUACCGUGGGCGCUGGAAAUUUGAGAGGAUCUGCUCCUAGUACGAGAGGACCAGAGUGGACGAACCUCUGGUGUACCGGUUGUGACGCCAGUCGCAUCGCCGGGUAGCUAUGUUCGGAAGGGAUAACCGCUGAAAGCAUCUAAGCGGGAAGCCUACCUCAAGAUAAGAUUUCCCUAGGAAUUUAUUCCUCUAAAGAGCCGUUCGAGACUAGGACGUUGAUAGGUUGGAUGUGGAAGCAUAGUGAUAUGUGAAGCUGACCAAUACUAAUUGCUCGUGAGGCUUGACUAUACAACACCCAAGCAGUUG
rnacentral:rRNA from 1 species